rnacentral:lncRNA from 1 species
UUUGUAGUUCUCCUUCAAGAGGUCCUUCACAUCCCUUGUAAGUUGGAUUCCUAGGUAUUUUAUUCUCUUUGAAGUGAUUGUAUACACAUAAACUUAUGGACACAUGAGUGAUAGUCAAAUUUCAAUCACUAAUGUGGCAUGAGCACUGACCCACCAGAAUGGCCAUGGUAAUUCACCAUGGAGCAGUAUUGCAUCAUCCUGAGUGAGAGUGAAGAAGAAUUGAGGUAGAGGGAAACUGAUAGAUGUGUUUGAGAUUUUAAAAUUAUUUCUCAAACUUUUACACCAAAAUAUAUCCUGGUACAUGUGCAACUUCUAUGGCUCUGUCAGACUCAUUUAAUAGGAAACUACCCACAGAAGAAAAUAAGGAAAACGAAUUCUGUAGGUAGAGAAAUGUAAUGACUAAGAUUUUAAAUGUUAUGACUAAGAUACAUGUUUAGUUGAUAAAAAUUAAUAAAAAUAAGAAACUUUCCUUCCUAGGGCAGCAUAAGAUCAUUUCAGAAUGAAGAUGCUUUGGGAUCUGACUUCGGACUGUAAGAAUGACAAACUCUGAAUGGGUGCAAAGGUAGCAGAUGACCUUCAAAGGAUGGUGAGAUUAAAUUUACCUACACCUAGAGAAAUAAUUGGAGCACAUGUCUAUUUGGGCCAAGAGGAUAAAGGCCAGUAGAGGAAUCAGAUCAAAGAACUUCCUCAGGGAAGUGUGCAGAGAACUGGAGUGGACCUUCCCCUAGGAAGCUGCCCAAAACGAGAGUGCUGGAAAGCUGGCCGCAGUGAGGCACUUCAGAUCCCAAGGGUAUGCUGGGGAAGCUGCCACAGGUGGGAGCACUUGCUGCUGGACCCUAGGCACUGUUGAAACAACUGCACCAUCUGCAGGAGCCCAGCAAGUGUCUCAGGAUGAUACAUACCGGUUUUUAACUUUGGUGUCAUCAAAUGCAAUUGCAAUGUGACUGUUUCUUGAAAGCCCGAACUGCUUGCUCCCUAUCAAAAGAGCUGGUUCUGAUUCUGCAGCACAAGGACCCUGUAAAAUACCCAGGAGAGAAAAACAGGAGAUUAUGGACUGUUCUUUAAAAAGUGCAAGGAGCACAUUGCUCAACCAAUUCCAUCGUGGACACUAAGGAAGAGAAUGAGAUAUUCAAGAGUUUUCAAGAUCUGCACUCAAGACAACAUUGCCCACCCAUUACUGGUAUGGAAUAUAACCACAACACAUGAGCUGUAAAGAGUGUAGUGACUGUGACCAUCUUUGUUGUAUUGGUGAUAAGAAUGUAAAUUGGCAUAGCCUGUGGAAGAAACAAUUCAGGUAUGUGUAUUGAAAACCUUAGACAUAUUCAUCUUUUGGCCUUAUAAUUUCCUAACUACUUAUCUAUUUUAAGAAUAACUGGAAAUAAUGAAAAAGCUUGAUGCAUAGAGGAGCUCAUCAGAGUAUAGUUUCUAAUAGUGAAAAACUGGAAACACUCUCAAUAGCCUACCAUGGUCUAUUAAAAGUAGAAUAAAUUGGAAAGGCAGAGUGUUCCAGAGAUAAGGAGUCAGACUUUGGAGUCUGACUCGCUAGAAUAAAAUUCUUACUCUGCCUUUUACUAGUGGUGUGAGUGGGUUGGUUGCUUAAGAUAGCUAAUUCUUAUUAACUCGACUAAAAGUAGAAAGACUAUAUUUUACAGAGCCGUUAUGAGAAUUACAUAUAAUAUUGAAUGAAAAUUGUUUAGCCCUGGGCUGGUGAAAGUACUCAUUAUUAUCAUUACUACAUAGUACUUAUGCCAUUUAUUAAACGUUCAGUAUAUGUGAGUCAUUGAACAAACAUUAUCUUUUAAAACUCUGAUACAAAGUCUUUGAUGUCUGUGCUGUUAAUAUCCUCAUUUGACAGAUGAGGAAACAGAAAUAGUCUAUGGCCAAAUCACCCUGAAAGCAUCCGAUCUUUUCUGAUCUCAAAAGCUAAGCAGGGUUGGGCCCGGUUAGUACUUGGAUGGGAAACUGAGAAAUAGAUUGGACAGGUAGCUUUCCCAAAUUCACACAGAUGGUCGGUUACAGUGCUGGGAUUUGAAUACCAGCAGUCUGACUUGAGCCCAUGCUCUAAUCAAGGCUAUAUGACCUCCAAUACUAUAAAAUAGUUGUGUGUCUCUGUGUGUAUAUAUACUUAACAUAAAAUCAUAUUAGACAUACACAUUUAUAUGAUGUUUAGAUACAGUUUUUAUUUAUUUAUUUAUUUUUAUUUUUUGGAGAUGGAGUCUCGCUCUGUUGCCCA